UAAUGGUGGAUGCUUAGGCAAUUUGAGCCGAGGAAGGACGUAUGUCCGAGUACGAUAUCGUCGGUGAGCCCUCCAACAGGCAUUAUUUAACCGGCGGUUUCCGAAUGGGGUAACCCACUUCGUUGUAAAACGAGGAGUCUAUAUCUAGAAGAUAUAGAAGGGAACCUGGUGAACUGAAACAUCUAAGUAAUCAGAGGAAAAGAAAAAAAAUUGAUUCCGUCAGUAGCGGCGAGUGAAAGCGGAAGAGCCUAAACCCGGCCUUCGGGCUGGGGGUUGCGGGACUCGACAUAAUAAAAGUUUGCGAUAGAGGAAUAUUUUGGAAAAAUUAUCCAUAGAAGGUGAUAGACCUGUACUUAAAAUUGUGAACUUUUUGGUUGAGCACCCAAGUACUACGGGACACGGAAAACCCUGUAGGAAGCUGGGGCGGUCAUGCUCCAAGGCUAAAUACUCAAAUUGACCGAUAGUGAACUAGUACCGUGAGGGAAAAGUGAAAAGUCCCCCGGCGAGGGGAGUGAAAUAGAACCUGAAACCAUUGACUAACAAGCAGACAGAGCUCCGAUUUAAUCGGAGUAAUGUCGUGCCUAUUGAAGAAUGAGCCAGCGAGUUUCCGAUUAACUGCUUUAAGGUUAACUAUGUAAAACUUAGGAAGCCAUAGUGAAAGCGAGCCUGAAUAGGGCGACAAAAUGUAGUAAUCGGAGGACCCGAAACGAGGUGAGCUAACCAUGGGCAGGGUGAAUUUCGAUGACCAUCGAGAGGAGGCCCGAACCCGUCGUCGGUGAAAUGACGUGGGAUGAUCUGUGGUUAGAGGUUAUAUGCCUAUCGAACUUCGAGAUAGCUGGUUCUCCCCGAAAUAUAUUUAGGUAUAGCCUUUUCAUCAUAAAGUAACUGGGGUAGAG
rnacentral:rRNA from 1 species